rnacentral:rRNA from 1 species
AACGUACGCUGGCGGCACGCCUAACACAUGCAAGUCGAGCGAGGUACUUGUACCUAGCGGCAGACGGGUGCGUAACAUGUGGGAAUCUGCCUUUUGGUUCGGAACAACACGGGGAAACUUGUGCUAAUACCGGGAUAAGUCCUAACGGAGAAAGAUUUAUCGCCGAAAGAUGAGCCCGCACUAGAUUAGCUUGUUGGUAAGGUAAAAAGCUUACCAAGGCUACGAUCUAUAGCUGAUUUGAGAGGAUGAUCAGCCACACUGGGACUGAGACACGGCCCAGACUCCUACGGGAGGCAGCAGUGGGGAAUCUUGCACAAUGGAGGAAACUCUGAUGCAGCGAUGCCGCGUGAGUGAAAGAAAGGCCCUUGGGUUGU